rnacentral:rRNA from 1 species
GACAGAGGAUGCAAGCGUUAUCCGGAAUGAUUGGGCGUAAAGCGUCUGUAGGUGGCUUUUUAAGUCCGCCGUCAAAUCCCAGGGCUCAACCCUGGACAGGCGGUGGAAACUACCAAGCUGGAGUACGGUAGGGGCAGAGGGAAUUUCCGGUGGAGCGGUGAAAUGCGUAGAGAUGUGGAGGAACACCGAUGGCGAAGGCAGCCUCCUGGGCCAGUACUGACGCUCAUGCACGAAAGCGUGGGGGAGCAAACAGG